GAUCUCUUUCUGGAGAUUGCUCCUCUUGGAGUUUUUCUUGCGAGCCUAUGACACAGGAGCUCAAGAUUUAUGAUCGUCUUACUAGCAGAACUACUCUUCCUCCCCAGUAAAGCUUCAAGAAUGAAAUGAAGGGCAUAUUGUGAAUAAGUAUUGUGGAAGGAAAAGUUCCUCUGAAAGUUGCUGGACCUGUUCAAAGUGAGAAGCUUUGUUUGUGGGCCCACUGGAAUCACCAUGGUGUUUUCUCAAAUAUGGCAAGGGCAUUGGUUUGGUUUGUUACCAUGAAAAUUGACAUUAUUUAGUUUCUCCCAUAUUAUUUAUCACAGGAUAUGUGGUAUCUUCCUGUUUGGCAAAGUAACUCAAUAAGCAGACUUAUUUAUGUUUAAUAGAGAUUUACUUCAGCAACAGAAUACUAAUGGACUAAUACGGCUUACACUGUACUGUGGUAGUGAAGUAGGAAGGCCAAAAAUGUGUGCUAUACUGAAAUGCCAGAUGGUUUUUGAUGGUAUCAGGUACAUUUUGUGUGUCUGCUAAAUCUUGCUUUAGCAGGCAAAAAAAAAUCUUCGAACUCUCUCUGGUAUAGCUACUAGUAAGUAUAGCUACUAAUAUUAGUUCUGAGAGUGCUUAAGGCAUAUUCCUAAAUUUAAUUCUCUAUUAACAGUAUAGCUAUUAAUAUUGUUCUGUGGGAAGGAAAGACAAAAGUCUGGCUUCUGUAUGUCAGCAUUCUUUUCACAGCUGUAAAACUGUGUAUGAAAUGAGUACUUUCUAUUUUUCUCACAGGCAGGGUAGGCUAAGGACUCAAAUAUUUAAAACAGCUAAAUACAUUUCAUUAGUUUAAAAAAAUAGACAUUUUUGCAAUUUUCUUACUGGAAUUAUCUCCAUUUUCAACUGUUUUUGAGUCAGUAGUAUUAUUUCUGACGAUCAAAAUAUCAGGAAGUAUUUUUGUGGAAUCUAUCUUUGGACACAUACUGUCUGGCGUUAAUGAUGUGUUUGAGCAUGUUAGUACUUAUAGAACUACUUGCAGCUUUUAUAAAAUGUUUGUACUUCGACUCAGUUAAUACAAUUUUAUCCCUUUAAAAGUGCCAGCAAUGCCAACUUCACAUUUAUGUCAGUGCAUUCUUCAUUAAAUUGUGAGUAGUCUUGUGACUCUGAGCUUGAGAUUAAUCCUCUGCCAUGUUUGCUUUUGUGUAAAGACAUGUGGGUCAAUAAUUAAUGAAAACAAAAUAAAACUGCUACUGACAGG
ensembl:lncRNA